GCUAGAUGUGGUGAUGCAUGUCUGUAAUCCCAGCAACUUGGGAGGCUGAGGCAGGAGGUUAAGUUUGAGGCUGGCUUUGGAACUCAAUGAUGUCCUAAGCAAUUUAGCAAGACCUUGCCUCAA
rnacentral:sRNA from 1 species